GAUCAACGCUGGCGGCGUGCCUAACACAUGCAAGUCGAACGCGAAAGCCCGCAAGGGUAAGUAGAGUGGCGCACGGGUGAGUAACACGUGGACAACCUGCCUUCGAGUGGGGAAUAACCUUCCGAAAGGGGGCGUAAUACCGCAUAAAACCUACGGAACACAAGUUUCGGGGUUGGAAAAGAAGCAAUUUGCUCGAAGAGGGGUCCGCGCCUGAUUAGCUAGUUGGUGAGGUAACGGCUCACCAAGGCUUCGANCAGUAGCCGUCCUGAGAGGGAGCACGGCCACACUGGAACUGAGACACGGUCCAGACUCCUACGGGAGGCAGCAGUGAGGAAUUUUUGGCAAUGGGCGAAAGCCUGACCAAGCAACGCCGCGUGGGUGAUGAAGUAUCUUGGUACGUAAAACCCUUUCGGC
rnacentral:rRNA from 1 species